AUUUUUCCAUUUUAUCCUUCAACAACGGUCUAUUUCUUAUACCUUCUUCACCUCUUCUCUUUUUGCCUCACAUUCGUUCCUCGCUUUUCAAACUACAGAAGAACCCCAAAAUCUACCGACAACCAUAAAAAAUUCCCCACAAAUCUCAUUUAUCUCAGCCCCAAAUUCAUUCUUCCUCUCUCGAACUAUACGAGAACUUCAAAAUCAAAAGAAAAUCCUAAAAAAAUCCCCAUAGAUCUCGUUUACAUCUAAGAAAUUGGAAUCCUCAGAAGACCCUUUUCUUCUUCUUUUGUAUUGUUGUCGACGAAGUGUUGUGGAGGGAAGCUAUUCUUCUUUCUUCAUCGUUGUUUGAUUGCAAGCUCACUCCACAGACAAUUACCCGCAGAAAAAGUUUAAUUUUGUCAAAAUUAUCUGGUUCAUGUCCUUUAUUUUGUACUUUCUACUUACUUGGGCAUUUUUCUUGUUCAAGCGCUAUAGCUCCUAAAAAUCUUAUUCACACAAAAUUGAUAUUCUUAAGAGUUGACAGAUGAUGUGGCCGAGUUUAAAAGAAAAGCAUGACUCACGAUUCUCACAUGGGCCUCUCCAUUGCAUCUCCAGUAAGUGAUUUUAUUUUUCUUGAAUAUAAAUUUUUUAUUUUAUUUUACUGGUGGUAUGGAUCCAAUAUUUGGUAUUCUGAUUGGACAUAGGAUAUAGUUGAACCCAGUUAUGUGAAUUUUCUGGAGUACUACGAAAUUUGGAGAGUAGAAUGAGGUGUGUAUUAGGCUCACCGGGAGAUGUUGAACAUUAUCCUUUGGUGUAAUUGUUAUAUUGGUUUUGUACGUUCUACCAUGAUACCACUAUAAUUGGAGGAUUUGUAAUAGUAUUUGACUUAUAAAUUGAAAGGGGAAGCAAUGUAACAGUUUUUUAAAAGUAGAUACAUGCACUCGGGUUCUGGGGAGGAUGAUUGUUACGGCAACUCUGCUUCUUGUAUUAUUAUAUGCCCUUCCAUGUUAUAUUUUCAGUGAUUUUACUAUUUCGUAGAGUUAGAGACCAAUCCGUGCAACCGGAAAAGUUGUGGUAUUAAAUUCAAUCAGUACAAAAAUUAUCUUAUUUGAAAUUUUAUUGAAGAGAAGAAUAAAAAAAUCCUUUAGUUGGUUGAAGUUCACAACAUGGUGCACGAUGAAAGAAAUCUUUUGUUGGGAGAUAUUUGGAGGUUUCAUAUGCUUGUCUUUUAAACUUAUAAGUGGGAAUUAACUCUAAUAAAAGUCUUCUAUGGCGAGGUUAAGUAGCAAUGUUGUUAGAUUGUCAAAGUAUACAUUGCUUUCUGCUCUUUUUUACCCCUUUUGCUGCAUAGAAUCCCAUACUUAUUUCUCUUGAUAGUUUAUUAAGGGGAAUAUGAUACAUGCUUGUUCUUUUGAAUCCCAAGCCAACUUGUUUGUAAUUGUUCCAUUUGUGUUGUCGAUCCCAUCGUGUCCUGGUAUUGGUUUCUAAAUGAAUUUUAUAUCUUUUAUUCACCACUGUUUUUGUGGGUAGUGCUUGUAGAUUGCUUGAAGCCAAAAUGUAUCAUUUGUGUAUGCAUUGUGCCAUAGAUGUGCCAGCCUGAAAGAAACACAUUUAUUGUGUUCAGAACUACUUUAAAAUGUUCCAGUCCGUUGUGUUUAACAUUUGGUCAAGCUUUAAUAAAACAAUGCAUAUGUUGUAAAAUGAAUAUAACAAAAGAUUUUAUUCUUUUCAAGAAACACAAUAUUGAGCAAAUUUUAAGUUUUUAUUCCUCAGUAUUUUAUCAAUGUAUACUUGUUUUGAAAGAGUUUGUAGCGUCUCAAUCUUUUGGCCCGCUGCAGCUUGUGGUUCAAUGGUAAUUUUCAUGCAUAUGUGUGCUCAUUCUUGUCGAUAUUUUCAAGUGAUUUAUUUUGAAAUUGUGUAUUAUUUCGACCAACUACCUUGUUUGUAUUUGUCAGGUCCUGUCCUUAACGUGCUUGAAUUAUUCUGAAAAUAUCAUGUAGGGUAUUUCCUGAGUGAUUUAUUAAGUGAGAAUAUUUUCUAUUUCAGGUGGAGACCAUAAAUUUUACACUAGAGGAAUUUCUGGACAAGAAUGAAAUAAUUCAGGAAUGCAGAUCUCUUAAUGAAUGUCUUAUUAAAUUGUAAGCUUCUGGUUCUCUCAUCAUGCUAAAAUUUUAUAAUAAUUGCUUUUGAUUCUUUUGUAUUCCAUUUUAUAUAUAGUUCUAGACUAUUACCAUAUCGUCCCUUUUAAUAAAUUUCCCUAGCAGAAUUUGGUCAUGAGAACAAUUUUUAGCUCAUAGUUGCAGUAAUUAUUUGUCAAGCUUUCAACCAAGAGAGCAAGUCUUGCAAAAAAAUAUAAUGGACAAGAAAUUCGAAAGUUCAAGAAAUUGAUGAUACAGUAAUGGGAUUUAGGCUUCUGAGGUUGCACGAGUAUAAGGUUUCUGCAGGUAGAGUUUUUGACUUCUAGAAAUCAUGACGGCGAAAUAAUGUAGAUGACAAAAGUACAAUUCACCAAUGUUUGUUGGGAUUGUAUCAAUUCUUUUGGAUUAAAAUGGCAGAAGUAAUGUUAUAAUUUCAUGGAAACCUUAUCUAUUAGGAUGCUGGCAUGUGCUAUUUAGGGAAAGAAUGUAUCUGGUUGUUGUUUUGCAGGUGAAGUGUCUAGCAUAUGCAAAAAUGUGUUCUUCAACUGUCUCUAAACUAUCUUUGUUGCAUAUAAUUCUGAAAUAUAGGAUGACAAUUUUCUAGGAUCUAGGAAUCUUUGUCACGAGGCAAAUAUGUGAAGUGGCCUAUUACAUAAUUAGUUUAAAAUGCAUUUAAAAAAAGUAAUGAUAUAUAUGAGUAAAUAGGCCAAAAAUGGACAAGUUUACGUCUUUUUGAUAUGGAAUUAUUUUAUGAAUUUCUUCGUCCUAUUUAAUACCCUGUAAAUCAUGGCAUUUAAUUAAAAUUUUACGAGUUAAUAAAUCUUUUUAUUGAAAUUAAUGUGAACUUACGAUGUUCACCUUUGACAUACUUUAUAUGUUAACUAAUAUGUUUCCUCAAUUUCAAGGAUUGGUGCUUGCAACCCUCCUUGUCAUUAUUCCUUGUGUUGUGCAUCAAAGCAAUGUCACUUAUGACUCUUGAAUGGUAAAUGAGUUUUGCUAUUGUUUUUUUUCUGCCAAAAUGUUGCCUGGUGCAAGAAUUUAGGUCUUGAGGGCAUGUGGGUAUGGUUUUUGAAAGAUAACAUGACUAUGUGGCAAAUGAUAUUUUAAGUAAUGGUACUACUUCAUUGCCAAGCGGAUAAUAUGUUUGACGCUCUAAGGUUAUGAUGAAUGUGGUAUGUGUUGUUUUUCUUCUCAUGGGAUUAAACUUUUGACCAGCCAUGCAUCUCAUUUGGAAAUAAGGUGUGCGGGCCAUGUAAAUGUUUUCUAGGAUGAUGUGCAGUUUUGUUUGAGUACUCUGAUAGAACUAGCAGUAAAUCUAACAGUUGAUAAAAUCUUUGUAAGUUGAAGAACAAUUUAAUGAUGAUGAGGGAUGAGGAGUAAAAUGGCCUCAAAAGAAAAGAUAUUGGCAGCUGAUUAUAUGUGAUUGGAGUUGGAUUCUCUGCUCAUUGAAAUUCAGGUUUGUUGUAAAAUUUUAUAUUGAUGGAGUUUUGAUUGAUUUUUUUUAUAACUUUUCCCGUCUUUGUGAUACAUCCUUCAUUAGAUGCUUUCAAUACUCGACUCCUCAUUUUUCUUACUGUUCAAAUGUUGACCUUAAGAGGUUUUCAUUGGACACAUCAUGUUGGUCUUUAUUUUUGCUCAACAAACAACAGCGUGAUCACAAUUCCAUGUCCAUGAAUUUCUUGAUACUAUUCUAUCUCUACAUAGUACAAUACAUUGAAGCAUAGUGAAUUUAGUGUUUUUGCGUUGGGCUUUGAAAAUGUCACAAAAGAGGUAGCAGCAAGAGGAGCCAAGCCUCGAUUUGAAGGCACUCCCUUUGAGGACAAACGGCAUCAAAGAGCGCCUUCUCUAAGGUAGAGCAAGUUUUUGUUCCUUUUUAUAAAAGAAAUUACUUUGUUGGGAUAUUAAAUUUUAUGUGGAUUUAUGAUGAGAUUUGGUAUUUAAUAAUUUUGUUGAAUACCCAUUUUUAGUUGGUGUAAAUUUGAAGUGGGGUCUCUCAAUUUUGAAUUUUGAUAUUGGUUUUUCCUUUUAAAUUAAUGAAGAAGUGGAAAAUACUACUAAAAAAUGAAGAAUGGAUGUACUUUUGGGGGUUGAGAGUGCUUUACACUCAUUAUAUUUAUGCCACUUAAUUCAUUAUUUUGUUACUCUUGAGAAUGUUUUAAAGCGUUUUAAUGUGUAUUUUGAUAUUGUAUAGGUUGAUUAAAUUGAAAGAAAUAGACAAAAGUUGGUGAAGUUGGAUGAGAGGACCAAAUUAUAAGAGUGUUCGAGGGCUAAAAUCCAAUUAAUCAAAAGUUGUGUCUAACCUCGUGAUGAAGAUCCAAUAGUAUUGGGAGUCAAUUGGAUGUUCACAGUCAAUUUCCAACGGACAAGUUAUGCUUCGAAGUUUUAGCCACACAUUGAAACCCCUUUUUAACAUAGCAAACAAUCGAAUUGGAGAAUGAUGCUUGAAUCAAAGUUGUAGCCCUUUGAAUUAGCUUUUUAACGUAUCUUGAAUCAUCUCAAUCAAACAUUGGACAAGAAAGUUGUGCUAAAAAUACUGAAAGACGCGUAGAAUCUCAUUUCAGUCGAACCGGGCACCACGGCGCACAUAUUGGGGGCUGCAGCGCCCAGGUUGUUGAAAUUAUGCAGAAAUCAUGGCGCCACGGCACCCAAAUUGGACGUCGAGGCGCUACCUUGCGAGGGAAGAAUUUUACAAUCUUUGGACUCUAUUCAGGAUCCAAUCCAACCCUAUCUUUCCAAGAUUUGAAGAGCAUAUAAAUAUCAUUUCUUCAAGGGGGAACCAGCCGGCGAAAACAUAGAAAUCUGGAAUUGGAAGAAAGCUUCGGCCACCAGGAGAUUGAGAAGAGAUUUAGCAAGCAAGGACAACAAUUUGAAGAAGGAUGCUGGACACAAUUGGGCACGGCUGGAGAAUACAUAAAAAAGUAAAUUAAUAGAGGGAAAUUGGCAAACUUUGGGAGAAGAAAUCGAGCGGCAACAAAACGAGUGUUCGUAAUCCUUCUUCUUCUCUAUGUUCUUUCUUUAUAAUUUAUUCGUGUCGAUUCUCUCAAUUAUGAACUAGACUUUAAUCCUAGGAAUUUGAUGUAGCCUACUUAGACAUUUUUUAAUUCCAAUAUAAUUAUUUCAUUUGAUCUUUCUGUUUAUUUA
rnacentral:lncRNA from 1 species